UGUGUGUGAGGGUGCAGUGUAUGCAUGUGAGGAAGCUGUGAGUGUCAGGGUUGCAGUGUGUGUGAGUGAGGGUGCUGUGAGUGUCAGGGGUGCAGUGUGUGUGUGUGUGAUGUGUGUGUCAGGGGUGCAGUGUGUGUGUGAGGGUGCUGUGGGUGUUAGGGGUGCAUUGUGUGUGUUGUGAGUGUCAGGGGUGCAGUGUGUGUGUGAGGGUGCUGUGAGUGUCAGGGGUGCAGUGUGUGUGUGUGGAGGGUGCUGUGAGUGCUGGGUGCAUUUUGUGUGUUGUAAGUGUCAGGGGUGCAGUGUGUGUGUGAGGGUGCCAGAGUGUUAGGGGUGCAUUGUGUGUGUGCUGUGAGUGUAGGGGUGCAUUGUGUGUGUGCUGUGAGUGUCAGGGGUGCAGUGUGUGUGUGAGGGUGUCGUGAGUGUCAGGGGUGCAUUGUGUGUUUAAGGGUGCUGUGAGUGUUAGGGGUGCAUUGUGUGCUGUGAGUGUCAGGCGUGCAGUGUGUGUGUGUGAGGGUGCUGUGAGUGUCAGGGGUGCAGUGUGUGUGCUGUGAGUGUCAGGCGUGCAGUGUGUGUGUAAGGGUGCUGUGAGUGUCAGGGGUGCAGUGUGUGUGUGUGCUGUGCGUGUCAGGCGUGCAGUGUGUGUGUGAGGGUGCUGUGAGUGUCAGGGGUGCAGUGUGUGUGCUGUGAGGGUCAGGGGUUCAGUGUGUGUGAGUGAGGGUGCUGGGAGUGUCAGGGGUGCAUUUCAUGCAGCCAGAGUGUCAGGGUGCAGUGUGUGUGUGUGCUGUGAUUGUUAGUGCAGUGUAUGUGUGUGAGGGUACCUUUCGUGAGUGUUUAGGCAGUGUGUGUGCAGGGUGCUGUAUGGGUUGGGGUGCAGGUGUAUGUGUGAGGGUGCUGUGGAGUGAUAGGGUGCAUUGUGUGUGCUGUGAGUGUCAGGGGUGCGUGUGUGUGUGUGUGUGUGCUGUGAUUGUUAGUGCAGGUGUGUGUGAGGGUGCUGUGAGUGUUAGGCAUGAAAGUGUGUGUGUGUGGGAGGGUGCUGGGAGUGUCAGGGUGUGUGUGUGUGCUGUGAGUGUCAGGGGUGCAUUGUGGGUGGUGUAAGCUAGGUGUCAGGGGUGCAGGGUGUGGAGGGUGCUGUGAGUGUUAGGGGUGCAUUGUGUGUGUGCUGUGGAGUGUAGGGGUGCAUUGUGUGUGUGUGUGAGUGUUAGCGGUGCAUUGUGUGUGUGCUGUGAGGGUGCAGUGUGUGUGUGUUGUGCGUGUCAGGGGUGCAGUGUGUGUGUGUGAGGGUGCUGUGAGUGUUAGGGGUGCAUUGUGUGUGUGCUGUGAGUGUCAGGCGUGCAGUGUGUGUGUGAGGGUGCCGUGAGUGUCAGGCGUGCAGUGUGUGUGUGAGGGUGCUGUGAGUCUUAGGGGUGCAUUGUGUGUGUGCUGUGUGUGUGCUGUGUGUGUCAGGGGUGCAGUGUGUGUGUGUGCUGUGAGUGUGUGUGUGCUGUGAGUGUUAGGGGUGCAGUGUGUGUAUGUGUGCUGUGAGUCUUAGGGGUGCAUUGUGUGUGUGCUGUGAGUGUCAGGAGUGCAGUGUGUGUGUGUGUGCUGCGAGUCUUAGGGGUGCAUUGUGUGUGCGCUGUGAGUGUCAGGGGUGCAGUGUGUGUGUGUGUGCUGUGACGUUAGGCAAGUGUAUGUGUGUGGGAGGGUACUGUAGGAGCGUGCUGUGGGCGUGUAGUGCAAGUGUGUGUGUAAGGGUGCUGUGAGUGCCUGUGGGGUGCAGUGUGUGUGUGUGCUGUGCGGUCAGGCUUAUUAUGUGUGUGUGUGAGGGUGCUGUGUGAGUGUCAGGGAGUGCAGUGUGUGCUGUGAGUGUCAGGGCGUGCAGUGUGUGUGUAAGUAUGGGUGCUGUGGAGUGUCAGGUGCAGUGUGUGUGUGUGCUGUGCGUGUCAGGGGUGCAGUGUGUGUGUGAGGGUGCUGUGAGUCUUAGGGGUGCAUUGUGUGUGCUGUGAGUGUCACGGGUGCAGUGUGUGUGUGUGCUGUGAUUGUUAGGGGUGCAGUGUAUGUGUGUGAGGGUACUGUGAGUGUUAGGGGUGCAGUGUGUGUGUGAGGGUGCUGUGCGUGUCAGGGGUGCAGUGUGUAUGUGAGGGUGCUGUGAGUGUCAGGGGUGCAUUGUGUGUGCUGUGAGUGUUAGGGAUGCAGUGUGUGUGUGUGUGUGUGCUGUGAGUGUUAGGGGUGCAGUGUGUGUGUGUGUGCUGUUAGUGUUAGGGGUGCAGUGUGUGUGUGUGCUGUGAGUGUUAGGGGUGCAGUGUGUGUGUGUGUGCUGUGAGUGUUAGGGGUGCAGGGUAUCUGUG